rnacentral:lncRNA from 1 species
CCUAGAGCAAACGAUUAAUCUCAACCCUCUCAUUCUCUCUAACCUCGACUCUAUUUCUCUUUUUAUUUCUUUAAUUAUGCUUUCUCUUUCCAACUUAUAUUUUUUCUCUUUUUUUCUAAAAAAAUAUUAAAAUUAUUUAUAGUAUUAUUUAAAAUUAAUUUAAUUAAUUAAUUAAUUAAUUAAUUAAUUGUAUAUUUUUCGUAAUCUUAAAUAACCUGACUAAAUAAUAUGACCGUACGAACCAAACACCGAAAUACUACAUUCUUAGUAAUAAGAUGAAUAAGAAUAAGAUUCUCGGAUAUUUUUUUACUUCUAGUAAUUUUUUAUAGUGCGAACCAAACGCGCCCUUAAGGUGAGCAAAAUUG